CCGUGAAGGAAGCUUGCCUAGUCGAAGCACUGCCCACUGUAGUAAUUUAGAGCCUACCUUUUGUUGAACCCUUGUUAAAACCCGUACCAAACAACUGACGAGAAAGCAAAUCCAUUAAAUCUGCCAUAAGUUUUUAAAACUUGCUGCCAGCUAGUCAAAACUCCGAAGUUGUUACAGGCUGUCAAUUCUAUCAAUGCAAGCCUAAAGUUUAGUGUAGCUGCGGGUUAGUGGGGAAAUUAAAGCUUGUCGCAAAGCAGGCAGCUUUAAAUUGCAGUAAUAUAAAAUGACCAAAUAAAGGCAACCAAUCACAUCCUAAUCUACCUAAUUUGUGUGGGAGAACUUUGUUUUAUCAUCUGCAUUUGGUUAAGUUUCCAUUCUAUCCAGGAAAAUGUAUAGGCCUACAAGCAUAAUUUAAUCAAA